UACGAAGGGUGCAAGCGUUACUCGGAAUUACUGGGCGUAAAGCGUGCGUAGGUGGUUUGUUAAGUCUGUUGUGAAAGCCCCGGGCUCAACCUGGGAAUGGCAAUGGAUACUGGCAAGCUAGAGUGCGGUAGAGGGUAGUGGAAUUCCCGGUGUAGCGGUGAAAUGCGUAGAGAUCGGGAGGAACACCAGUGGCGAAGGCGGCCUUCUGGACAGUGACUGACGCUGAGGCGCGAAAGCGUGGGGAGCAAACAGG
rnacentral:rRNA from 1 species